rnacentral:rRNA from 1 species
GACAGGGGGUGCAAACGUUGCUCGGAAUCACUGGGCGUAAAGCGCACGUAGGCGGUCGUGUAAGUCGGGUGUGAAAGCCCUUGGCUCAACCAAGGAACAGCACCCGAUACUGCAUGGCUUGAGGACGGGAGGGGAGAGUGGAACUCUUGGUGGAGCGGUGAAAUGCGUAGAUAUCAGGAGGAACACCGGUGGCGAAAGCGACUCUCUGGUCCGUUCCUGACGCUGAGGUGCGAAAGCUAGGGGAGCAAACAGG